GCGAUUAUGCCCUUAUGACCUGGGCUACACACGUGCUACAAUGGGCAGAACAAAGGGCAGCGAAGCCGCGAGGCUAAGCCAAUCCCACAAAUCUGUUCUCAGUUCGGAUCGCAGUCUGCAACUCGACUGCGUGAAGCUGGAAUCGCUAGUAAUCGCGGAUCAGCAUGCCGCGGUGAAUACGUUCCCGGGCCUUGUACACACCGCCCGUCACACCACGAGAGUUUGUAACACCCGAAGUCGGUGAGGUAACCUUUUGGAGCCAGCCGCCGAAGGUGGGACAGAUGAUUGGGGUGAAGUCGUAACAAGGUAGCCGUAUCGGAAGGUGCGGUUGGAUCACCUCCUGA
rnacentral:rRNA from 1 species